AGAUUAAGUUAUUAAGGGCGCACGGUGGAUGCCUUGGCACUAGAAGCCGAUGAAGGACGUUACUAACGACGAUAUGCUUUGGGGAGCUGUAAGUAAGCUUUGAUCCAGAGAUUUCCGAAUGGGGAAACCCAGCAUGAGUUAUGUCAUGUUAUCGAUAUGUGAAUACAUAGCAUAUCAGAAGGCACACCCGGAGAACUGAAACAUCUUAGUACCCGGAGGAAGAGAAAGAAAAUUCGAUUCCCUUAGUAGCGGCGAGCGAAACGGGAAGAGCCCAAACCAACAAGCUUGCUUGUUGGGGUUGUAGGACACUCUAUACGGAGUUACAAAGGACGACAUUAGACGAAUCAUCUGGAAAGAUGAAUCAAAGAAGGUAAUAAUCCUGUAGUCGAAAAUGUUGUCUCUCUUGAGUGGAUCCUGAGUACGACGGAGCACGUGAAAUUCCGUCGGAAUCUGGGAGGACCAUCUCCUAAGGCUAAAUACUCUCUAGUGACCGAUAGUGAACCAGUACCGUGAGGGAAAGGUGAAAAGCACCCCGGAAGGAGAGUGAAAUAGAACCUGAAACCGUGUGCUUACAAGUAGUCAGAGCCCGUUAAUGGGUGAUGGCGUGCCUUUUGUAGAAUGAACCGGCGAGUUACGAUUUGAUGCAAGGUUAAGCAGUAAAUGUGGAGCCGUAGCGAAAGCGAGUCUGAAUAGGGCGUUUAGUAUUUGGUCGUAGACCCGAAACCAGGUGAUCUACCCUUGGUCAGGUUGAAGUUCAGGUAACACUGAAUGGAGGACCGAACCGACUUACGUUGAAAAGUGAGCGGAUGAACUGAGGGUAGCGGAGAAAUUCCAAUCGAACCUGGAGAUAGCUGGUUCUCUCCGAAAUAGCUUUAGGGCUAGCCUCAAGUGAUGAUUAUUGGAGGUAGAGCACUGUUUGGACGAGGGGCCCCUCUCGGGUUACCKAMUUCAGACAAACUCCGAAUGCCAAUUAAUUUAACUUGGGAGUCAGAACAUGGGUGAUAAGGUCCGUGUUCGMAAGGGAAACAGCCCAGACCACCAGCUWAGGUCCCAAAAUAUCUGUUAACUGGAAAAGGAUGUGGCGUUGCCCAGACAACUAGGAUGUUGGCUUAGAAGCAGCCAUCAUUUACAGAGUGCGGAAUAGCUCAUUAGUCGAGUGACACCGCGCCGAAAAUGGAACGGGGCUACACAUAUUACCGAAGCUGUGGUUUGUCCUUUGGACUAUGGCAGGAGAGCGUUCUAAGGGCGUUGAAGCAUGAUCGUAAGGACACAGGGAGCGCGUAGAAGGGAGAAUGCCGGGGUGAGUAGCGAAAGACGGGUGAGAAUCCCGUCCA
rnacentral:rRNA from 1 species